CGUCAUAACUCAUAACAACGUCAAACAAUAAAACAUUAUAGAAAGUCAUUCAAAUUUUUCCGUCUUUGAUAUGACCUAAUUCUGAUAGUGGCAUUUUAAUGUAAUUAUAUUAAAAUGAAAUAUGAUAAGGUUAUUGUGGACUCGAUGAUUUUCUCAGGAUCCUUCUAUGUUUCCUACAGAGCUAUGAGGAGGUUCAUAGACGAAUUUCAGAAAACAGAUGAAAUUAUCGAGAAGUAAACAUGAUUCCGUAAAAUUAAAUGUAUCGAAGUAAAACCAAUAGUCUGGAUAAGUAAGGAUGCACCAGGGGACCAAAAAUAAGGAAUAGCAUGCCGGAAUAGCGGUGGGAAAUUAAAAUGCGGAAACGUAAGAAGGAUACGUAUUCAGCGGCUGAGGGGGCGGUAUGUGGUAAAAAUAUGGCGGAGAAUACAUGACGUCUUCAAUUCCAGGGGCAAAGGGCGUCGUCCGCGUUGGCACCAGCGACCGCACUGUUCCGUACAUGUUCCUAUGUCG